AUCCAUCUGACGACUCUCGAAUAGGACGAAACGUGUGUCCUGGAU
rnacentral:hammerhead_ribozyme from 1 species